rnacentral:rRNA from 1 species
CCUACGGGAGGCAGCAGUGGGGAAUAUUGGGCAAUGGGCGCAAGCCUGACCCAGCAACGCCGCGUGAAGGAAGAAGGCUUUCGGGUUGUAAACUUCUUUUGUCAGGGACGAAGCAAGUGACGGUACCUGACGAAUAAGCCACGGCUAACUACGUGCCAGCAGCCGCGGUAAUACGUAGGUGGCAAGCGUUAUCCGGAUUUACUGGGUGUAAAGGGCGUGUAGGCGGGGAAGCAAGUCAGAUGUGAAAACCACGGGCUCAACCUGUGGCCUGCAUUUGAAACUGUUUUUCUUGAGUGCUGGGGAGGCAAUCGGAAUUCCGGGUGUAGCGGUGAAAUGCGUAGAUAUACGGAGGAACACCAGUGGCGAAGGCGGAUUGCUGGACAGUAACUGACGCUGAGGCGCGAAAGCGUGGGGAGCAAACAGGAUUAGAUACCCUAGUAGUC